CCAGCAGCUGCGGUAAUUCCAGCUCCAAUAGCGUAUAUUAAAGUUGUUGCAGUUAAAAAGCUCGUAGUCUGAUUUUGAGUUAAAGUUGGUUUGGUCUGCCGAUAAGGUGUGUACUGACUAGCUUUUCUCAUUGUUCAGUUAGUUUUUAGCUGCUCUUAAUUGAGUGGUUAAAAGCGCUGAACUGUUUACUUUGAAAAAAUUAGAGUGUUCAAAGCAGGCAUUUAAAGCCUUGAAUACAUUAGCAUGGGAUAAUAAAAUAGGACUCUGCGUCUAUUUUGUUGGUUUCUAGGCAUAGAGUAAUGAUAAAUGGGAGCAGUUCGGGACAUUCAUAUUUCAUGGGGAGAGGUGAA
rnacentral:rRNA from 1 species